rnacentral:rRNA from 1 species
GGGGGCCUGCGGAGGGAUCAUUGCYGSAWCGMGCSCCAGGCGCACCCAGAAACCCUUUGUGAACUUAUACCUUACUGUUGCCUCGGCGCUAGCUGGUCCUCCGGGGCCCCUCACCCCCGGGUGUUGAGACAGCCCGCCGGCGGCCAACCCAACUCUUGUUUUUACACUGAAACUCUGAGAAUAAAACAUAAAUGAAUCAAAACUUUCAACAACGGAUCUCUUGGUUCUGGCAUCGAUGAAGAACGCAGCGAAAUGCGAUAAGUAAUGUGAAUUGCAGAAUUCAGUGAAUCAUCGAAUCUUUGAACGCACAUUGCGCCCUCUGGUAUUCCGGAGGGCAUGCCUGUUCGAGCGUCAUUUCAACCCUCAAGCCUGGCUUGGUGAUGGGGCACUGCUUCUUACCCAAGAAGCAGGCCCUGAAAUUCAGUGGCGAGCUCGCCAGGACCCCGAGCGCAGUAGUUAAACCCUCGCUCUGGAAGGCCCUGGCGGUGCCCUGCCGUUAAACCCCCAACUUCUGAAAAUUUGACCUCGGAUCAGGUAGGAAUACCCSCYSAACUUAAGCAUAUCAUAGCCGGGGAGAGAA